GACGAACGCUGGCGGCGUGCUUAACACAUGCCAGUCGAACGGAAAGGCCCUGCUUUUGUGGGGUGCUCGAGUGGCGAACGGGUGAGUAACACGUGAGUAACCUGCCCUUGACUUUGGGAUAACUUCAGGAAACUGGGGCUAAUACCGGAUAGGAGCUCCUGCCGCAUGGUGGGGGUUGGAAAGUUUCGGCGGUUGGGGAUGGACUCGCGGCUUAUCAGCUUGUUGGUGGGGUAGUGGCUUACCAAGGCUUUGACGGGUAGCCGGCCUGAGAGGGUGACCGGCCACAUUGGGACUGAGAUACGGCCCAGACUCCUACGGGAGGCAGCAGUGGGGAAUAUUGCACAAUGGGCGGAAGCCUGAUGCAGCAACGCCGCGUGCGGGAUGACCGCCUUCGGGUUGUAAACCGCUUUCGCCUGUGACGAAGCGUGAGUGACGGUAAUGGGUAAAGAAGCACCGGCUAACUACGUG
rnacentral:rRNA from 1 species